UUUUUUUUUUUUUUUUUUUUUGCCUUUUCUGUUAGACUAGAAACUGUUGGAGGGCAGGACUAGUGUAUGUCAUAUUCUCACUGUGUGUCUAGUAUCCACCACAGUGACUGGCUUAUAAUAGCUGCUGUUAAAUAAAUAUUUGUAGAACCACAUGAUUAAAUUGGUACUGAUUCCUUAUUGGUGUUUGCUCACAAGAUGAUUUUGAGCACUUCUUUGAAAUACUGCCCCUUUAUCCUUAAAUAUAUAUAUAUAUUUUUUCUGCUCAGCCCAGCCAUCUAGCAUCAAGUAAGUAACCUCAUAGACGAGCGACUUGGUUGUAUAAUUAGAGUGAAAGCCUUUUUCUUAGACUUACUGAGUCAUUAGACCUGUUAAAUCACUUGCUAACUUCAGAUGAAUGUUGGGAAGAAGUCUUACCUGUAGUUCAUAAAAUAGGUGGUUAAGGAUGUGAACUUAAGCUAAGCCUUUGUUUGUAGAGUGAAGAAGGACUUUCCUCUAGCUCAGCCACCCUAUUUCUUCUUCCCUUUCUGAACCUGUAUUGCACUUAGAAUCAAUUUGUCACUCUAAUUGCUCUCUAAUUAUGCUAUGUGCAAGUCUCAGCUUCUUACCUCAAGUCACCUCUUUUGAAGGAAUAGGAGCAGGUUUCAUACCCCAUUUAUUUUCAUCACAGUGCAUACUAUCAUAAAUAAUGAAUAAGCCCUGGCUCAGCUAAGACAUCUUCCUUCUUUCUUUUACUCCAAGCAUUUGAUGUAGUGCUAACUUAAAAGAAUCAAUGAAUACACAUUUUAUUUUAUUUUAUUUUUAAAUCUUUUUUAGGGCCACAGCUGCAGCACAUGAAAGUUCCCAGGCCAGAGGCCAAAUUGGAGCUGCAGCUGCAGGUCUAGGCCACAGCCACAGCAGCGCCAGAUCUGAGCUGAGUCUGUGACCUACACCACAGCUCACAGCAACUCAGGAUCCUUAACUCACUGAGCGGAGCCAGGGAUCGAACCCUCGUCCUCAUAGAUAACUAGCCAGGUUUGUUUCCACUGAGCCAUGAUGGAAACUCCCAGGGAGGGGGUAUUUUAAAACACGUAGUUGAAAUUUGUGUCACAUGGUUUUUCUGUGAGUGUACAUAUACACUGUCUCGCAACAGUGUGAUUGUAAAAAUUGUGAAAUGUGAAUUGUAAGAAAAUGUAGGUGGGGGUUUGUGCUGUGCCAUACACAAAUUGGGUUCACAUCUACUUUUUUUUUUUUUUUUUUAAUGUCCUUAACCCACUGUGCUAGGUCAGGUACCAAACCUGCGUCUCAGACAGUGUUGAGUUCUUAACUCACUGAGCCAUAAUGGGAACCCCCAUAAUGGUAGUGUUUUUUUGUACCCUGAGGAAUAAUGCAUAACCUGUUUUUUACCCUGUGAUAUAACUUGAAAAGGAGUUGAGUAAACACAAGAAUGCACGUGGUCUUUUUUGUUUUUGGCUGUCCAGUGUCAUGCACAAGUUCCCGGGGCAGGGAAGGAACCUGUACCACAGCUGUAACCAGAGCCAGCAUCAAGUCCUUAACCCAUUGAACCACAAGGGAACUCCACAAGUGAUCUUUUCAAUAAAUGCUUUGAGUUCAUCUGACCGGGAAAAGCUAGUAGUCAAGGCCAGAACAUGAUUGGAAGAACCUGAAGCUUUAGAUACACAUUUUUGUUACUCAGAGUUUGUUUUCAAAGAACUUUAUGUUGACAUACUUUAAGUGAUUUAGCCUCUAGGAAAGGUGUAAGGUCCAUGGGGGAGUAUUUUUCCUUUUGCUGAUGAAGAAAACUACAGAUUCACGUAAUUGCUUGCCCCAAGCCACAGAACUAUUAGUCUGUCAAAGAAUGAACUGGGGCCCUGAGUUUCUGAUGGAGCGCACUUCCCAUGCUGUAGCCCUUCGGUCCCUCUCUUCCGGAAUUAUUACCCCAGGUUGGUUUGCUCUGAGGCCCCCUGGUUUGUGGUUUGUGCUUUAUGGCACCUUGUUUGUAAAGAUUUGUUUUAGUUUUUCACUUUUAUAGCCUUGGCAGCAUGAAAGGAUUUCAGGUAGAGGUAAAUUGUCCAGUGUCUUAUCUAAAUUGCAUUGAACAUUUUUUUUUGUUUGUUUGUUUGUCUUUUUGCCUUUUCCAGGGCUGAUCCCACGGCAUAUGGAGAUUCCCAGGCUAGGGGUCUAAUCAGAGCUGUAGCUGCUGGCCUACACCAGAGCCACAGCAAUGCAGGAUCUGAGCCUCAUCUGUGACCUAUACCACAGCUCCGGCAACGCCGGAUACUAAACCCACUGAGCAAGGCCAGGGAUCGAACCCUCAACCUCAUGGUUCCUAGUUGGAUUCGUUAACCACUGAGCCAUGACGGGAACUCCUGCAUUGAAUUCUUGAUAAAGAUCUUUUGAUUCCAUUUAUUGUAUUAGUGUGAUGGCUGUUGUGUGUGUGUGUGUCAGAUUAGGAUUGGAUCCUGUGUGAAAUGAAUUUUGAAUCAGACUGAGGAGAAAGGAUGAAUGAAGGCCACAUGGGUUUCAGAACAGAUGUUCUACAAAUAGGUUCAUUGUUGCAGGCUUUUUUUCAUUGAAAACAUUGCAAGGUGUCCAUAAAAACUUCUUGUGGACGUUUCACCCACUCCUCCUCCUUGUAUCUCUGAAGGCUCAGGCUAAUUGCAUCAUUUUCAGGGUAUUUUUGAAGAACAGAAGUGAUUUCAUUGUUUUGCCUGCAGGCUGGAAUGAUAACACUGCAGGGCGUGGUUCUCCUUAUGUAACAGUUCCCAUUGUUACUUUCUUAUUUGAAAGGUAGGUUUUCAAAGGUGAAACUGCACCCUUUAUAUUUAAAAGAAGGCAUUGGCCAGAUUUUCACUAGUGAUCAGAACCAUGGAAAUUAGACCUAAUGUAAUUUGACGUGGAUUGCAGAAUUAAAGAAUCUUGAGGCAGAAGGAAACAAUCACAUACAGCCACAACCCACAAUAUGCAGCAUGCUUGCCCCUGUGGCAGUGUCUGGAGAUGCAGAGAUGUGGACGGUUGAGAUUCCUGUGCUUACAAAGUUGACUUAGUGGGAAAACGGGGCAUUGAUUACAUCUCAUCCUCCUGAUAAAUGAUGCCAAUCUGGGAAACUCACUUAUUUCCAAGUUUGCCCUUACGUUGCUCUUGCCCCUAAUUCUGUUCUCAAGUGUAAUCAGUGGUGUGCUAGCUAAUGGUUAGCAACCUGCUCUAGGCAGGGAGCGCCUGAUUUGUCGUGUUUGCCAAUUUCCAUUAUGUAAAUACUCCUACCUUGGCAAUAUUAAAUAACUGGUGUGGUGCUGAACACAAGAUUGGGAAGAGUUGUGUACCAUUGGCUUUUUGGUGUUAGUUAACACAGGGGCUCCUGCCACCACUGAACUCCACAUACAGUAAAUUAUCAUGACCGAUGAUGUAAUAACCAUAAACGAGGGUGGAUAAUGGUUCAUUGGGAACAGGAGUUUUAAAAGCUCUUUUAUACACAGUAUCUUUUUUAAGCAUAGUGAUAACACUGAGAAAUAAGUGCUAUUACCCCUCCCCAGGUUAAUCCAGCCUCUAUUCCCCAACACUAAAUUCUCAACCUCAUUGUAGUUAUCUCUACGUAACCACAAAAGGUUAUCCAAAUAUUUGGAGUAGAGUUGCUUGUAAGUGGCAGAUGUCAGAUUCAAACCCAUGUCUUUCUGAUCCCAGGAUGUGCACUUAUAAUCAAUGUGAAAUACAAAAUAUGUAAAAUUAAAAGCUAAUUGUGAAAAUUGAGCAGGGCCCUGUGGGGCUCCAGGGCACAGAAACCCUUCUGUGUUCCCUAUUUCUUGUCUGUAGGCUUCCUUCAGCCUCCUAGACCUUCCCUGAGUUCUAAAGGGUAGGUUCAAACCAUUGGUAAUCAGGGAAGGGCAGGGAUGCAGAGACAAAGGAGAAUAGUCAAACUACAAUAGUGCAGCCUUGGGAAAAGAUCCUGGUUCCCCCUUGGGAUACAGACAGCGAUAUCAUAAAGCUUUUCUGUAGAACUAAAACCCCCAACAAAAGGAAGGUGUUAACUUCUUAAUGAAACAUUUUCCUUCCAGAAGGAAAGGUCAUGGCAAGAUAACCUUAAGGACCACCAGAACCAGUCCCAGGCUACUAAACACCAGCUUUGGAGAAGAAUGCAAGCUUGCCUCUACCCUGAUUCUUAUCUGUGACCGUAUUUUCCGUCCCAAACUAUAAGACCCCUUCUUAUUCUCUCUCAAGGGAGGGCACAGUCUUUUGGGCAAUAAAUAAAUAAGGAUGGCUGUGCUCUCCUUUAUCUGGCAAGGCAAUAAAAGCUACUCAUUUCUACUUCACACAAAACUGUCUCCGGUUCGUAUUCAGCAUCUGUGAACAGAGGCCAGGUUUUUGCAACCAUUGAAUUUCAUCUAAGCUCUCUCCUUUCUGGUUGUAAGCAUCCAUAACCCAAAUGAAAUAGUUCAUUCAUUGAUUCAGUUUGCAGAGCAUCUGUGCAUGUUUGGUGUUGUCGGACAUACUCAUGUUGCAUAUGUGAACAAAACAGUAAAAACGAGAGUUGCCGGCUUGGCUCAGAGGGUUAAGAAUCAUGAGGAUGCAGGUUCCAUCCCUGGCCUCGCUCAGUGGGUUAAGGAUCUGGCAUUGCUGUGAGCUGCAGUGCAGGUCUCUGAUGCAGUUCUGAUCCUGUUUUGCUGUGCCUGUGGCAUAGACAGCAGUUGUAGUUCCAAUUUGACCCCUAGCCUGGAAAUUUCCAUAUGCCAUAGGUGUGGCCUUAAAAAGAAAAAAA
rnacentral:lncRNA from 1 species